GCAGAAAAAUAGUUGAAUGUAAAGCACCGUAGCAGGGCUAACAGAAGAAAAAAAAGAUAUGGUUUUGGGUGUUCUCUGAAAAGUAACAGCUUGCAAGGUGAUGCCAGCAUCAAGGAACCUGUAAGUGCAUCUAGUGCCACCCCUAGUUGGUUUUGGAGUAUUGACGACAAACCUAGUUGAGGGACUAAUGUGUUUGUGAGAAUUGCAGGAUAACACAGGUAGAAGUCCCUCAUUGAUUCGGUUUUACUACCAGAGAUGACCCCUAAAAAUGUAUGAAGACAAUUGAAGCCAAAGGUGGUAUAUGAAGAUAUUCACAUUGAAGACUAUGACAAAACAAGACACGUUAUGAAGCCUAUGGAGCUCGAAGACUUAGAUCUUUCGUAGUUCUUUUUCUUUUGUGUUGAGUCAUAGGAACCACCGCACUGUUAAGUGGGGUCCAGGAGAACCAGUCAGAAUGACUGAAGUGAUGCCUAAACCAAAAACCUAUGUCUUCGAGUGAAGACAAUGAGAGCGAAUCUUGUCCAGAGCCGGACAAGUCAGCUUUGCUUGUAGCCCAAGUAAAGUUGCCAUGAGAGUUUGAAAUCUGAUCGUUGAGACACGUGUCAGUUCCUUAGUGACCCAGGGUCAUUUCGGACAAAUCAGGUCGGGUUGCCAAGUGGCUAUAAAUAGCCCACCCCCUACAACCAUAAACGGGGCUGCUCAGAUUUCAGUGCACGGCUUUUGUCGUUUGAGAGCAACCCACCUCGAAGCCUUUGAAAGAAAAUUCCUAGCGAGGAGAAAAGCCCUAACCACCCAGAGCCAGAGAACAUUGGGCAUCACUUAAGUCUUCUUGUCUGUGUGAUCUGAAGACUUAUUACACUUGAGGACUGUGAAUCCUCCAGACGGUUAGGCGUCGCGUUCAGAGCAUCCAAGAGACAUUGUGGAUUGCCAGUGAACGAAGUCUGUGAAGGUUUGGGAGUCUACCUUGAAGACUUACCAGAGUGAUUGGGCGAGGACUAUGUGACCUUAGCUCAAGGAGAAUACGGUGAGGACUUGGUGUCCUGAGCUGCAUGUUCAGGACUGGGUGUCCGGGACUGUGUGUCCUAAGGUUUAAAUACCUAGCCGCUCCAACCAGACGUACAGUUGUCACCGCAACUGGAACUGGUCCAACACAUCAUUGUCUUCAACGAGUCACCGGUUUCAUCUUCACUUCCUUUUUCUUACUGUUACUCAUUGUGAAGCCAUUGCAUGCCUGCUCUAUCUUUUGUCUUCACAACGUGAAUGUAUGAUCUGCUUGGCUUCAUAACUUCAUAACUUCUUCCUACCUGAUCCUUAUUACACUGCAGUUGUUUGUCUUUGUGCUUUCACUCUAUUGAAUACUUGACCAUGGCUUGCCUAGUGUAAUCUAACUUCUGUUGCAUAGUAAUAGGCAAAAUCUUCGCUGUUUGUCUUCAUAACUCCCACGUUUUGAAGGCUUUCAUAAAAAUCGCCUAUUCACCCCCCCUCUAGUCGAUAUAACGCACUUUCAAUUGGUAUCAGAGCAAGGUGCUCCCUUGUUCUAUGUGAUUCGGUUUAACCACCUGGAGUUUUAGCUAUGUCGACUGCAGGGAUAAUCAAAGUCUCCGCUGCGUGCCCCGUCUUCGAUGGAACUGAAUAUCCCUACUGGAAGAAUAAGAUGCGCAUGCAUCUUGAAGCCAUUGACGUCGACCUAUGGUAUGUCGUCGAGAACGGCGUUCCCAAGGCUGGAGAAGGUGUCACUGCUGCUAAUGUCAAGAAGUUCACUCAACUGGACUCUACUGCCAAAAAUAUCAUCUGUGGUCAUCUGACAAAAGGACAGUAUGGCCAUGUGAGUGCCUUGAAGACAUCCAAGCUGGUAUGGGACUGGCUCUCCAAGGUCAAUGAAGGCGUCUCAACCCAGAGAGAUCAAAGAAUCAGUGUUCUUCGCAACCUCUUCAACCGCUCCAAGCGAAAUGAUAAUGAGAAUGUCCAGCACACAUUUGACCGGCUCACUGACAUCACAAAUGAGCUUCAAGCCCUCGGCGCCACUGAGAUCACCAAACAUGAAGUUGUCAAGACGCUGCUAAGAUCACUUGAUAGUUCGUUUGACAUCCUAGCCCUGAUGAUUCAAGAACGUCCUGAUUUCAAGACACUCGAUCCGUAUGACAUACUUGAGAGGCUCAACACACAUGAGUUUUAGCUUUCUGAGAAAAGAGAUAUCUAUGGUCCAAACUAUGGGCGAACUCGUGCCUUGAAGGCAAAAGCUGUUUCCUCAUCUGAAGAAGAAUCUGACAGCAGUUCUGAUGAUCCUGAAGACAUUGGAAGGGAACUUGCAAUGCUAGUGAAGAAGUUCCAAAAAUUCACUAAGAAGAAAGGCUUCAGAAAAUCUUCACGAUCAAGCUCAAGGAAUGAUGAAGCUUCUGCUCAUGACUACAAGAAGAAAACAUGUCACAAGUGCAAGAAAACUGGACACUUCAUCUCUGAGUGUCCACAGUGGGACAAUGAGAACAGAAGGAAGAAGAAGAGCAAGGAAUAUGAUUCUGACGACAAGAAGAAGAAGAAAUACUCAAAGUCUUCUUCCAAGUCUUCCUCAAAGUCUUCAUCACACAAGAAGAGCUCAUCUGGCAAGGCACGUGCGUUUGUUGGAAAGGAAAUGGAUUCAGAGGAGGAGUCCGCUUCUGAGGAGGCAGAGGUGGAGUCUGAGGAGGAGUCUGAUUCUGGCAUUGCAAGUCUGACUACAGCAUACGUCGCCAAGUCCAUCUUCAACACUGAAGAUAAUGACUUCAUCACCGACACCGAUGCAAAUGACAAGAACGACUCCACUCCUACCUACUACUUCAUGGCACGCGGUGCCAAGGUAAACACACGCACUACUCGCUAUCAAACAUCUAGUGACGAUGACUCUGACUGUGAUUCAAAACCCAGCUACAAAACACUUGCUAAAAUUGCAACUGAACAAUAGAGAGCUAUGGAACAUAUUCAAAAACUGUUAGACAGAAGCGAUGAUCUGUUGGGUGCUGAAAUGACUCAAUCUGAAUCCUUAAUUGAAGACAUAAAAAAUCUUCACAUUAAGUAUCAGGAACUUGAAGAUCGUCUUGAUACUCUCUCAACAACUCAUGAAAAGCUUUCCUAUGAUUAUCUUCAAAGGAAGCAAGAACUUGAGAAAUUGAGAGCGGCUCAUGAAGAUCUUCAAAAGGAAAACGAGUCACUUCGCGCCGAACAGAUCAGUUCCGCUCAGGAAGGAUUUGAACCACCAUGUCUUAAAUGCAUUGAGCGUGAUAAUGCUACUUCUGUUGCUGAAUGUUCCACUGCUACUGCUGUUGCAAUAUCUUCAACUGUUGAUGUGGUAACUAACCCCUCUGCUGAGGAUACCACUGCUAUUGCUGAUGAGAAUGCUAGGUUGAAGACAUUGCUUGAAACAGGGAUGUACAAAAGUCUUAAAGGACAUCAGACAUUAUGUGAUGUCCUCAAGAAGCAGAUUCUGAACCGAAACCCUAGGAAAGAGGGUGUUGGGUUCACAAGGAAAAUAAAUGCAGAUGGCUCUUACUGGAAACCUGAGCAGUACCCCAAAACCACAUGGGUUGCUGCAAAGGAAUUUUCAGCAGAUCCAACCAAUUUAUCUGGCUUCACUUGUGCUAACCCCAUUAUCAUUGAUGAAUCCUUUGAUGCAAACUAUAAACUGUUUAAGAAUCAGAAUGGUGAAGUGUUUGCCAGGUACAUUGGUACUAACUGCAGGAAUGGACCGCCUAUGAAGAAGAUCUGGGUUCCGAAAAAGUGUCUGGAAAAUCUUGCUGUGAAUGUCUUCAUGACACCUCACUUGAAGAAGACAAACCUCAGGCCAAAAGCUUCAUACGAUCCAAAGGCUUCAUACAAACAGAGGACUCACCUGAGUCACACUAAUGCAAAUGUUUUGCAGGGAAACCAUACUCAGGCAUAUGAAUAUGAGAGCGGUUCAUCGAACCGUCAUGUUCAUAUGACCAAAAAUUAUUCUGCUUAUUCCUAUGAGUAUUAUUGUCCACCUGCAAAAUUGUUUGCUAAGGCUUCAAAGCCAAAAUUCUCAGAUGCCGCACUUAGACUUAUUGCUUCUAAGCCACCCUUGAAGAUGUGGGUGGUUAAGAAAGCUUAACUCUCUUUUGCAGGGAAAGGUCUCCAGCAGAAAAACAAAAUCUUCUGACGCUAUUGCUGGGGACCUUAAAAAUCUUGUAGGGCACAAGAUAAAAUGCCCGAAUGGCAUCAUUAUGUACUUCGUUCCUGAAUCGCAUGCUACUCUCCCUAUUAGUCCUAAUAUGGAUCUAAGUUUUCAUAACCCACUGGUUCGUCAAAUGUUUUUGCUUCACAAUUCUCUUCGUGAAGCCUAUCCCCCUAACUGCACUGUAGGGUACGACACCAGCGUCUUCAAAGUCUUCAGAAUGAAUUAUUGACAGUGGAUGUACAAAUCACAUGACUAGCAAAAGAAGCCUUCUUAUGGACUCAACCUUACGUCCAUCCGACAAGAGCCACAUCACAUUUGCUGACACUGGUAAAAGUAAGGUAUUGGGUCUAGGUAGAGUUGCAAUCUCAAAGGAUCAACACAUGGAUAAAGUCAUGCUUGUUGAAUCCCUUGGCUUCAACUUAAUGUCUGUCUCAAUGCUUUGCGAUUUGAACAUGAUCGUAAUGUUUGGAAAAUAUCGUUGGCUAGUACUAAUGGAAUCUGACAAGUCUCUAGUGUUUGAAGGGUAUUGGAAAGAUGAUUUGUAUGUGGUAGAUUUCUCGGCAGGGCCACAACUUGCAGUAUGUCUUCUUGCAAAAGCUUCAGAAUGCUGGCUUUGGCAUCGGAGGCUUGGGCAUGCUGGCAUGAGGAACCUCCGCACCCUUGCGAAGAAGAAGCAUGUCAUAGGCAUCGAGGGCAUCAAGUUCAACAAAGAUCACUUAUGCGGUGCCUGUGAAGCAGGGAAGAUGACAAGGGCAAAACAUCCUUCGAAGACAAUCAUGACUACUACUCAACCCUUUGAACUGCUCCACAUGGAUCUUUUCGGUCCCACUCACUACUCAACUUUUACUACUACUGCUUGCCUCUAUGGCUUCGUCAUUUUUGAUGAUUACUCUAGAUAUACUUGGGUGCACAUAAUCCUUUACAAGACUGAAGUGCAGGAUGUCUUCAGACGCUUCGCCAAUCGAGCUAUGAACAAUUUUGGCGCCAAGAUAAAGCACAUCAGAAGUGACAAUGGCACUGAAUUCAAGAACACUGGCCUUGAUACAUAUCUUGAUACCUUGGGCAUCACACAUGAAUUCUCAGCUCCGUACACGCCACAGCAGAAUGGCGUCGUCGAACACAAGAGCAGAACACUCAUUGAGAUGGCCAGAACGAUGCUAGAUGAAUACAAGACUCCAAGAAAAUUCUGGACUGAAGCCAUUUAUACUGCAUGUCAUACAAUCAAUCGUGUUUAUCUUCACAAGCUUCUGAACAAGACAUCUUAUGAACUCCUAACUGGCAAGAAGCCAAAUGUCAGUUACUUCAGAGUAUUUGGCUCAAGGUGCUGGAUCAAGGACCCACACCACACCUCAAAGUUUGCACCAAAAGCACAUGAGGGCUUUAUGCUUGGAUAUGGAAAGGAUUCGCACUCCUACAGAGUCUUCAACCUCUUUCAUUACAAAGUUGUUGAAACAGUGGAUGUGCGGUUCGAUGAGACAAAUGGUUCACAAAGAGAGCAACUGCCAAAUGUGCUAGAUGAAGUUCCAGCCAGUGAAUCAAUCAAGCUUAUGGGAACUGGAGAGAUUAUACCUUCUGAAGCUCAUCCUGAAGAAGAACUUAUCAUCUCAGCACCUGAUCAACAUGAAGACAAUGCUCAGCCUAAAGACAUUCCUCCCAACAACAACACAGAUCAGCAAGAGCAAAGUCUUCACCCUGUACAUCCUCGUGUUGCCAAUGAAGUGCAGAUUGACAGAAUAAUUGAGAGCAUCAAUGCACCUGGUCCACUCACUCGUUCAAGGGAAACUCAGCUAGCAAAUUUUUGUGGGCACUUCGCAUUCGUCUCAAUAUCAACAAGCUCAACAAGGCACUAUAUGGCCUCAAACAAGCCCCUAGGGCCUGGUAUGACACACUCAAAUAUUUCCUGAAGAGCAAAGGCUUCAUACCUGGUUCCCUAGAUCCCACUCUUUUCACGAAGACAUAUGAUGGUGAACUGUUUGUGUGCCAAAUAUAUGUGGAUGACAUUAUCUUCAGCUGCACCAAUCAGAAGUACAGUGAAGAGUUUGGAUAUAUGAUGCAAGAGCAAUAUCAGAUGUCCAUGAUGGGGGAGCUGAAGUUAUUCCUUGGUCUUCAAAUACGACAACAACGCAAUGGCAUCUUCAUAUCUCAAGAGAAGUAUCUCAAAGAUUGCCUGAAGAAGUUCGGUAUGCAAGACUGCAAAGGCUUCACAACACCAAUGCCAGCCAAACAUCAUCUAGGUCCUGACGGCAAUGGUAAAGAGUUCGAUCAAAAGGUAUACCGCUCCAUGAUUGGUUCUUUGCUUUAUUUAUGUGCAUCUAGGCCAGAUAUUAUGCUUAGUGUUUGCAUGUGUGCUCAAUUUCAAGCGGCACCAAAGGAGUCGCAUCACUUAGCUGUGAAGCGAAUUCUUCGAUAUUUGGCUCACACCCCAACUCUAGGAUUAUGGUAUCCAAAAAGCUCAGAGUUUGAUUUGGUUGGAUUUUCGGAUGCUGAUUAUGCCGGUGACAAAGUUGAUCGCAAGUCUACAUCAGGCACAUGUCACUUUCUGGGACGAUCACUUGUAUGUUGGUCUUCAAAGAAGCAGAACUGUGUAUCUCUCUCCACUGCUGAAUCUGAAUACAUUGCUGCUGGAUCUUGCUGCGCUCAGCUUCUGUGGAUGAAGCAAACACUCAAGGACUAUGGCAUUCAUCUGAAGCAAGUACCACUUUACUGCGACAACGAAAGCGCCAUCAAGAUUGCCAACAACCCAGUUCAGCACUCGAAGACAAAGCACAUUGGAAUUCGUCAUCACUUUCUCAGAGAUCAUGUUGUGAAGGAAGACAUUGAUAUCAUACACGUCAACACUGAAGAACAAUUGGCAGAUAUCUUCACCAAGCCCUUGGAUGAGAAGAGAUUUUGCAAGUUACGGUGUGAGCUAAAUAUCCUGGAAUCCUCAAAUGUCCUGUGAUCAGGCACACAUCCUAACACUUAUGCAUAUGACGACUUAGAUGUGCAACGCACAAAGUAAAGUAUAUCUUCAAUCAAUGAAGACAUACAUUCUAAGUGUGAAUACAUUAAUGUGGAAUUUGACUUCGGAGCGCCACGAUAAUUGUGUGCCGUGUCUGGGUCUAAUACUUCCUAUACGGUGGGUAACGCCACCACCAAACGUUCUAUUUUGAAGUGUUUCACUCAUGGCGUUACCUUGCAAUAUCUUCACAUUUGGUUUGGCUUCGAACUUAACAUGUCUUCAUGAUUAUCUUCACUACGUUGAUUAUAUAGAUAUAUACAUACUAGUGUUAUGUCCUCUACAGCAUUCACUUAUAGCUAUGUCUUCUUGGUUGAAUCUUUUGAACUAAGUGAAUGUGAUCGGACCCUAAUCUCUCUAUGCUUUCUAUCUCAAAUUCUAUCUCUCCAAGUCAUAUGCAUUCUAUUGAAACUGUCGAAUGUCUUCACUGCGUCCUUGUCAGCAGAAGAUAUAGAGACAACCAUAAAGUCCGUUUUCAAUGCUCAUUCCUCCACAUAAAAUCCGAAGAAGCAGGAACGACCGCCCGACAAUCAAGGCGUGCAUGGGUCGUGGAACAAACCCCAAACUUCCGCAAACAGGCCACGCGUUCCUCAGAUGCGAAUCACCAGGGGCACCUGUGUAAUAGCACAGUGCUGCCCCUGUGCCUAUAAAUUCACACUUACCGCGGUCAUUAUCUCCUUCUUCCACCCUCGCACGAACCCUAGCGCCACCGCUAGCUCUCGACGACGCCGACGACGAAGCGCUUCGCUGCCGCAACCUCUCCGACGCCGUCCUCACGCCGACCGCGGACAUCGUUCUCUCCGCCGUCGCCGUAGGUGUCUUCCGUCGCCAAGUUAGGGCACGGAGGACUGAACUGCUCGGCAUCAUCUCCCACUUCCUUCUAGCAGUUCCAAGUGUGGUAAAUAAAACUUCUUUUUACAGCCUCUUUUGAUCUCAUGGUUCUGUCACUUUCUACCAUAAAAAGUUUAUCUUCACACAAGUUAGAUCUCUCAAUCUGCAUCUCAUAACAUGCCUAGUAUAUUCACUUGUGCUUCAUGAAGUAGUUAGAUUCCUCACUUGUACUGAUCUGUGGGUUCGUACAAAUCUGGAACCAACUUUUUAUCUAUGAGUGAAUGUCUUCGCACGAUGAGGUCAAUGUCUUCUAAACUGAUUAAUCUUCAAAACCUUCUGAGAAUGCAUAUGACCUCUUCCCCUUCCCUCGCACCUUAAUGUUGUCACAGGUACAUGUCCGUGGGAGAAUCCUUCGGUUCUCAUAGUCUGCAUUCAUUUGCAGAAUUCCUACAGCAUCACAUAAACUCUCCUGAAGCCAGUUCCUAUUGGUCCAGCAAAAGAAAGCCUUUGAAGCCUUUCAAUUUAAAGUUUAUGGCUUCAGAAGCAGCGGCAAGGAAGGGGGGCAGACAGAGACGUGAAGGAACUUCCAAAGAUCUGCCUGAAGACCUGGCAGAAAUAUAUAAAACAAAUCCUGAAGAGAAUUAUGGGCAGCGCAAGACUCGAAUCCAAUGGAUUCGACGCUAUUGGGCUGAACAAUGGUUCAAAUACCGCUUCGUCACCCAAGAGUAUGCUGAGAAAAGUGCCAUCAAGAAACCGUGGGGGGACAUCAUUUACAAGAAUCUCAUACCCAGGACCAGAGAUGAAGCCAUUGCUCAAGGCUUCUACCCAUGCAUGGUCCGAGGACCACAGCCUGAUGAUGCACAUCCGUCGUCACUACUCUGGUGUCGUGACGACAAUCUAUUCAAGCGCAACUUCUAGUUUGCCCAACAAUCAGCGAAGCAGCAGAAGAAGAAAUUUGGGUUAGACUUCAACCCUGGUCCCUCCGCACCAAGGGCAGAUGGCACACGCGACGCCGAACCCAAUAUCAUUGGUCCGUUUGCCAACCUUGAAGGCCUCAUCACCCACAUCCUAGUCCAAGGGACUGCCGUGAAUGACCCUCCAGCUGACUCUGUGUCUGAUGAAGCUCCUGCUGUACCGAAGCCAAAGCAAUCAAAGAAGCCAAAAGCUUCAAAGCCAGCCCCUUCCUCAAAAAUCUCAAGGGCGAAGCCAUUGGCAACUGCACCUCCUGAAGACAGUGUGCAGUCUGAAGAUGUAUCCCGCGUCUCCAAGCCCCAGAAGGCCAAAGUGCCUCAGCCACACACUGGCAAAGAGCUCACAGUUGCUACCAUCCUGCGCAGCGAAGCCAUAGAUCUGUCAAGUGAUGAAGAUCUUGGAGAUGACGCUCUAGAGCAGCUCAUCAAAAGCAAAGAAGAAGCUGAAAUCUUCAAGAAUUUGCCUCUCUUUGAUGUCGCCAUCAUCCACAAUUUCAUCGACGAAUGGUUUGCCUCACCAGACAUCAGCUUCGAAGAUCUGCAGCUGCCCGUUGGCCUCAGCGUCGCAUUCCAAGGCGCUAUUGCUUCAGAACUUGCUAUUGCCCAGCGCAUAGUUGAACUGAAAAUUGAUCAUGAAAAGGCUCAGUUCAAGAAGCAUAUGGCCAAGCUCAGCGUGCAAGAAGUGAAGAGCUUCAAGACCAUGUUGCAUGAACUUAAGGAAAACUUUCUGAAGAAGCAUGCAGAAGCUCAAGGUUCACGUGAGCGGAUGAAGUCUCUGGCAGAAAGAUGUGUGCAGGCCUACAAUGAGGCUGAGAAGCACAAGGCACUUGGGCGUCCUGGCAUCGACCCCAAGAUGGCCACAAAGAAAAAGAAGAAGACUGUUCUAGCUGAACCAGAGGCACCAAGGCAAGAAGCAGUUCCAAUUGUCUUCCCAACUGCAACGACUGGCUCGAAGCCAAAGAGCCGGUCAACAGCUUCAGAGCUCAAGAAGACAAGAACUGCUGAGGCUGAAGCCAGGAAGAGGAAGAGCUCUGAAGCCUCUCCUACUGCCCCCAGCAAGAAGAAGAGAAAGAUCAAAAAAUCUUGGGCUGCUCCCACAGAGCCCUUGAUAGUUGAACCUAUUGCUAUGGUGCACCCGAACGUAGAACGUCAACUGACGGUUCAUGAGCCUGCUUCCACAGAGGCUCCUGAAGCUGAAAACAUACCAGCAGCCGACCCCAUUGCUGCUGAAGACAUUGGUCAUCAGGACAAUGUACAAGAUGAUGCAGCCCUUCCUUAGUAUGAACAAAGCAAGCUCAUCAGCAUUGGUCAUCCUCUGACGCCAAUUGCACAAGAUGCGUCAUGGGCGGAUUACCCUCAAGAGGAAGAAGACUUUGAGGCCUAGCCCACUCCAACCCCACAAGCGCCGUCUGCGUUCCGCAGGCUUCGCAAAGGUCCAAGGCCUCAAGUCUAUGCUGAAGACAUUCCGGCUGCAUCAGCCAAAGAAAAUGAAGAAGUACCACAAGAUCCCACUCCCCCACUACACCAAAAAGCAGUUCUCCAGGAGAACGUGCUUGUGACUGACCCUCCAGCUAGUCAAGCGGAGGCUGAAAAUGUUGAGGCUGCCACAACCAACACUGAAGCCAAUGUGGAGCCCUCCCCACCAAAAGCUUCAGCAGACAGCGAAGCUACUGAACCAGACACUUCUGUUCCUGAGUCUGCUGUAGGUCCUCAAUUUGAUUACCAUGUUGAGCACAGGCCUCAUGUACAGAAGCCAGUCCCAAGGCUGCCAAGGUUCCCAGGUCCUGCAUCAGCACCUGGCUCCUUUGACAUCAAUAGCUUCAAGGCAGACAGUACAUUUUUCAACAGCUCCAAGAACCCCUAUUCAAGGGAACGGAUUUCAUCAGAUAGGUUCUGGAGCUAUCCUCAGCGCAGCUACUAUUCAUGCAUCCUAUACAACCAAGGUCGCAUCUUCCCGCACAAGCACCUUGAUGUUGAAGCCAUUGCUGGUCUGCCCUGCUUAGAGGAAGCGCUGGAUUGCUUCAAGCAAGUGGGUCUGCUGCAGUUUAUAACUGAUGAAGAGCACUAGAAUGAAGAGCUUCUGUUGCAAUUCUAUGCCACCCUACACAUCAAGGGAUACAACAGAGAUCCGAAGACUUGGGACCUGGAGUGGAUGACCGGCAACGUCCAUCACGAAGCCAAUGCAUUCGAUAUCAUUGAGCUCACCGGCCUGCCCACUCCUGGCGAACUCUUCGAGGAAGGUUGUCCACUUCACACUGAAGCUCUUGAGAGCAUAUUCCAGCGGCCUGAACCAAAUAUGAGUCAGAUGCUCUCCAUGAUGAAGCCACUGCCUCUCGAUGCUCCUUAUCCAACAGAGUUCUUCGUUGAAGACUUUGAGUACCUGCCCAGAACAAUCUAUCACAUUCUCCGGCGGACUCUCUGGCCUAUUAAAGGGCACUCUCCAAAUGCCAAGAUUGAGGGUGCAAUGAAGACUCUGAUAUUCUGUAUCCUUCAUGGCAAAUGCUUCAACGCAUAGGAUUUCUUCAUACGCCAACUCGCUGCAUCAGGCUCAGAUCUGUUUGAUUUAAAGUUCUAUGCUCCUUGGGUAAUGAGACUGAUCAAGCUUCACUCUGCGAUCUCAUAUCAGCCCUCAGCCCGCAACCAUUGGAUCUUCUUGCCAGAUGUGGAUACCUCUAUUGAAGCUAUAUAUCCUGAGCCUGCCAAGCAACCGUUGAGUCUUCAGAAUGCAGAACACCAGAGCUUCAUUCAAAACAAUGAAGGUGUUGAAGCCAUCUCCAGGGUGUAUCCUUUGGCUGGCACUACACGUGCGCCACACCCUGCUUCAACUGAAGCCACUGAUAGUGCAACUGCUUCAAGACCCAAGAAGCGCGCUCGUGUUCUCAAUGACCGAGAGCUUCUUGUGGCCCUUCAUCAAAAACAAGAUAGGCAUCACGACUGGCUAAAGCGUCAGAUGAAAAGCCUCUUGGUGGAUGUUAAUCGUCUUUGAAAUCUUGCCACCAAGAAUGCCUUCGUCACUCAUGAAACCUGUCAUCGUACAUGGAAAGGGCUCUCAAUGAUGUGUACUGAAGCUGAACUUGAAGAGGAUGGCUUCACUGAGCGAUUCAAGUUUGACACCACACCUCCUAGAAGGGCUGUGAUGCGCAACACACCAUCACUUGAAGACUCUGAGUUUUCUUCAUCUGCUGCCACAGUCACUGCCAGAAUCAUUGAUAAAGAAGACGAUGCUACAUCACCACCACCUGCUUCAGCACCUCCAAGCUCUUCUGCACCGCCAAACACCUCCAACAACCCUGCUGCUCCUGGGAACGAGUAGACACUCUAUGUCUUCAAACCUUUUUGGUCCUUGCUGACAAAAGGGGGAGAAGCAUAUGGGUUGAUAGUCUUCAAGCGGGUCCUUAUGGGCGGGUGCUUUAUGUUUUGCUAUAUUUUUCUUCGUGCUUACAACUCUCGUUUUUGCUUCAUUUGAUUCUUUGAGUUGUAACACUAAGACUCGAUGGUCGUCUGCUACUUGUUUGCCACCCUGUUUUGCGAAGAUAAAUUCCGCAUGUGCGACGAUAAAUUCCGCACUUAUCUCAUUCCGCAGACAUCCAUUUUCCAUUAUGCAUGUCAUUAUCUUCAUAUACUUUCACAUGCAUAGUGGAUUGUCAUCAUAAGCUGAAGUGGGUAUCCACAAGUACAACCUGCCAUGUGCAUUUGCAUUCCAAAAGCAAAUUAACUUAUAUGCACAUUUUCAGGGGGAGCCCUUGCAACUUAUGAAGACAAUUCCUUAUCCUUUACAAUUUCACAGACUAUAUUCCCCGUUGAAAACUUCAACUAGUUUGUCAUCAAUCACCAAAAAGGGGGAGAUUGUAAGUGCAUCUAGUGCCACCCCUAGUUGGUUUUGGAGUAUUGACGACAAACCUAGUUGAGGGACUAAUGUGUUUGUGAGAAUUGCAGGAUAACACAGGUAGAAGUCCCUCAUUGAUUCGGUUUUACUACCAGAGAUGACCCCUAAAAAUGUAUGAAGACAAUUGAAGCCAAAGGUGGUAUAUGAAGAUAUUCACAUUGAAGACUAUGAAAAAAGAAGACACGUUAUGAAGCCUAUGGAGCUCGAAGACUUAGAUCUUUCGUAGUUCUUUUUCUUUUGUGUUGAGUCAUAGGAACCACCGUACUGUUAAGUGGGGUCCAGGAGAACCAGUCAGAAUGACUGAAGUGAUGCCUAAACCAAAAACCUAUGUCUUCGAGUGAAGACAAUGAGAGCGAAUCUUGUCCAGAGCCGGACAAGUCAGCUUUGCUUGUAGCCCAAGUAAAGUUGCCAUGAGAGUUUGAAAUCUGAUCAUUGAGACACAUGUCAGUUCCUUAGUGACCAGGGUCAUUUCAGACAAAUCAGGUCGGGUUGCCAAGUGGCUAUAAAUAGCCCACCCCCUACAACCAUAAACGGGGCUGCUCAGAUUUCUGUGCACGACUUUUGUCGUUUGAGAGCAACCCACCUCGAAGCCUUUGAAAGAAAAUUCCUAGCGAGGAGAAAAGCCCUAACCACCCAGAGCCAGAGAACAUUGGGCAUCACUUAAGUCUUCUUGUCUGUGUGAUCUGAAGACUUAUUACACUUGAGGACUGUGAAUCCUCCAGACGGUUAGGCGUCGCGUUUAGAGCAUCCAAGAGACAUUGUGGAUUGCCAGUGAACGAAGUCUGUGAAGGUUUGGGAGUCUACCUUGAAGACUUACCAGAGUGAUUGGGCGAGGACUAUGUGACCUUAGCUCAAGGAGAAUACGGUGAGGACUUGGUGUCCUGAGCUGCAUGUUCAGGACUGGGUGUCCGGGACUGUGUGUCCUAAGGUUUAAAUACCUAGCCGCUCCAACCAGACGUACAGUUGUCAUAGCAACUGGAACUGGUCCAACACAUCAUUGUCUUCAAUGAGUCACCGGUUUCAUCUUCACUUCCUUUUUCUUACUGUUACUCAUUGUAAAGCCAUUGCAUGCCUGCUCUAUCUUUUGUCUUCACAACGUGAAUGUAUGAUCUGCUUGGCUUCAUAACUUCAUAACUUCUUCCUACCUGAUCCUUAUUACACUGCAACCGUUUGUCUUUGUGUUUUCACUCUAUUGAAUACUUGACCAUGGCUUUCCUAGUGUAAUCUAACUUCCGCUGCAUAGUAAUAGGCAAAAUCUUCGCUGUUUGUCUUCAUAACUCCCACGUUUUGAAGACUUUCAUAAAAAUCGCCUAUUCACCCCCCUCUAGUCGAUAUAACGCACUUUCAGGACCUCUCGAAAGCACAAACAUCAAAAUCCUGCAAAAUGUAAGAUCAACUCAUAAGCUUACCCAACAAGAGAUGAAUAUGUGACAAGCAAAAGUUGAAUAUGGAUAAAAGAAGAUUGGCUCUCAAAGUUGAACAUAACAUUGCUAUCAACAACGACCUCAUAAAAUGGCUUGCACCACCUAAUUAAUGUCCUAGCUAUAAACCAUAUCAAGAAUUUAAGUGUACUAAAACAUGCAAUGCACCGGAACAAAAAACAC
rnacentral:lncRNA from 1 species